GCUGGGCGUGGUGGCGGGCGCCUGUAAUCCCAGCUACUCGGGAGGCCGAGGCAGGAGAAUCGCUUGAACCUGGGAGGCGGAGGUUGCAGUGAGCCGAGAAUACGCCACUGCACUCCAGCCCGGGUGACAGAGCAAGACCCUGUCUCAA
ensembl:misc_RNA Metazoa_SRP Metazoan signal recognition particle RNA